rnacentral:rRNA from 1 species
AUUGAACGCUGGCGGCAGGCCUAACACAUGCAAGUCGAGCGGAGAUGAGGUGCUUGCACCUUAUCUUAGCGGCGGACGGGUGAGUAAUGCUUAGGAAUCUGCCUAUUAGUGGGGGACAACAUUCCGAAAGGAAUGCUAAUACCGCAUACGUCCUACGGGAGAAAGCAGGGGAUCUUCGGACCUUGCGCUAAUAGAUGAGCCUAAGUCGGAUUAGCUAGUUGGUGGGGUAAAGGCCUACCAAGGCGACGAUCUGUAGCGGGUCUGAGAGGAUGAUCCGCCACACUGGGACUGAGACACGGCCCAGACUCCUACGGGAGGCAGCAGUGGGGAAUAUUGGACAAUGGGGGAAACCCUGAUCCAGCCAUGCCGCGUGUGUGAAGAAGGCCUUAUGGUUGUAAAGCACUUUAAGCGAGGAGGAGGCUACUGAGACUAAUACUCUUGGAUAGUGGACGUUACUCGCAGAAUAAGCACCGGCUAACUCUGUGCCAGCCGCCGCUGUAA